CAGCAGCCACGGUAAUACGAAGGGUGCAAGCGUUAAUCGGAAUUACUGGGCGUAAAGCGCGCGUAGGUGGUUCAUUAAGUUGGAUGUGAAAGCCCUGGGCUCAACCUGGGAACUGCAUCCAAAACUGGUGAGCUAGAGUACGGUAGAGGGUAGUGGAAUUUCCUGUGUAGCGGUGAAAUGCGUAGAUAUAGGAAGGAACACCAGUGGCGAAGGCGACUACCUGGACUGAUACUGACACUGAGGUGCGAAAGCGUGGGGAGCAAACAGGAUUAGAUACCCCCGUAGUCCCUGUCUCUUAUAU
rnacentral:rRNA from 1 species